CUACGAGCGGCUCCAGUGGGGAAUCUUAGACAAUGGGCGCAAGCCUGAUCUAGCCAUGCCGCGUGAGUGACGAAGGCCUUAGGGUCGUAAAGCUCUUUCGCUGGGGAAGAUAAUGACGGUACCCAGUAAAGAAACCCCGGCUAACUCCGUGCCAGCAGCCGCGGUAAUACGGAGGGGGUUAGCGUUGUUCGGAAUUACUGGGCGUAAAGCGCGCGUAGGCGGAUCAGAAAGUUGGGGGUGAAAUCCCGGGGCUCAACCCCGGAACUGCCUUCAAAACUCCUGGUCUUGAGUUCGAGAGAGGUGAGUGGAAUUCCGAGUGUAGAGGUGAAAUUCGUAGAUAUUCGGAGGAACACCAGUGGCGAAGGCGGCUCACUGGCUCGAUACUGACGCUGAGGUGCGAAAGCGUGGGGAGCAAACAGGAUUAGAUACCCUAGUAGUC
rnacentral:rRNA from 1 species